rnacentral:rRNA from 1 species
GACGAACGCUGGCGGCGUGCUUAACACAUGCAAGUCGAACGAUGAAGAAAAGAAUCGAAGCUUCGGCAGAAAUUCAUUUCGGAUUAGUGGCAGACGGGUGAGUAACGCGUGAGCAACCUACCUCUUACAAAGGGAUAGCCUCGGGAAACCGGGAUUAAUACCAUAUAACAUUGCGACGAAGCAUUUCGAUGCAAUCAAAGCUACGGCGGUAAGAGAUGGGCUCGCGUCCCAUUAACCGGAUGGUGAGGUAACGGCUCACCAUAGUGACGAUGGGUAACCGGGAUGGGAGGGUGAACGGUCACACUGGAGCUGAGACACGGUCCAGACUCCUACGGGAGGGAGCAGUGGGGAAUAUUGCACAAUGGAGGGAACUCUGAUGCAGCGACGCCGCGUGAGUGAUGAAGGAAUUCGUUUCGUAAAACUCUGUUCUAUGGGAAGAAAAGGACUGUACCAUAGGAGAAAGCACCGGCUAAAUACGUG